UACGUAGGGGGCAAGCGUUGUCCGGAUUUACUGGGCGUAAAGAGCGUGUAGGCGGCCAGGUAGGUCCGUUGUGAAAACUCGAGGCUCAACCUCGAGACGUCGGCGGAAACCCUCUGGCUAGAGUCCGGAAGAGGAGAGUGGAAUUCCUGGUGUAGCGGUGAAAUGCGCAGAUAUCAGGAAGAACACCCGUGGCGAAGGCGGCUCUCUGGGACGGUACUGACGCUGAGACGCGAAAGCGUGGGGAGCGAACAGG
rnacentral:rRNA from 1 species